rnacentral:rRNA from 2 species
UACAGAGGGUGCGAGCGUUGUUCGGAAUUAUUGGGCGUAAAGGGUGCGUAGGCGGUGCCACAAGUCACUUGUGAAAUCCCCAGGCUUAACCUGGGGCCUGCAGGCGAAACUGUGGUGCUGGAGUAUGGGAGAGGUGCGUGGAAUUCCCGGUGUAGCGGUGAAAUGCGUAGAUAUGCGGAGGAACACCGAUGGCGAAGGCAAUCCCCUGGGCCUGCACUGACGCUCAUGCACGAAAGCGUGGGGAGCAAACAGG